GCUGGUAUAUAUUUUGGAAGUUAAAAAACAUUUGUAUAUAUAUAAUGGUGUAAUUUCAAAUGUUACAUCAUAAUAAAAAAAAUAUCAGCAAAAUAAAAGCAAAAUAAAAUGUUCCAAAAAGAAAAUUAUAAACAAUAAUUAAAAAUUGCAGUCAUACAACUGAAAAGGGUUAAAUAAUGUUAAUCUAAAAGUUAAAUAGUAUAUUUCAUAACAAGUAAUGCAUCAUGAAUAAUAUUAUCACAGACUUUGAGACAAAAUGGAUGGGAUGGAUGAUGGAGUAUGCUAAAAAUUCUUGGUUAAAUUUGAUUUUGUGUCACAGUUGAGGACAUAACAAGUUUACCCUUUCAAUAUAUGUAUUUCUAGUUUUUCUUCCAUUAAUGGAAAAACAUAUUUUCACAUUGAUUUUGUCUGUCACUGCAGUAUAUAAUAAUUUACCCCUCAAAUAUAUGAAUUUCAACUUUGCAUAUAAUUGUAUGAAGCAUAUUAUUUUCCAUUUAAUAUUUAAUCAAUAUAUGAAUUUUCAACUUUGUUCUCAGUUAUAUGAAAUACAUGUAAAUUAUUUUGCCAUGCAAUUUUUGUGAAAUAAGAGUAGAUGGUAGGUGUCCCAGAUCAAAUGCGAUGUGUUUUCCAAUGUUAUUUAUGUAAGACAAUGACGCCCAAAAAGUUCAGUCAGAGUAAAACUUUUGAAUCUUUAAUUUAUUUAUUGCACACACAAAAAGUAUCUAAAUUUAAUAUAAAAAAGACCUAAUACAAUGUAUAUUCAAGUAUUAAAAAAAAUGGUUUAUUAUGCAUUAAAAAAAUACAAGAAAUCUCUUUAAGGAAUGGUG
rnacentral:lncRNA from 1 species